rnacentral:Y_RNA from 1 species
UGCUGGUCCGAGUACUGUGGUGUUUACAACUAAUUGAUCACAACCAGUUACAGAUUCCUUUGUUCCUUCUCCACUCCCACUGCUUCACUUGACUAGCCUAAA